rnacentral:lncRNA from 1 species
GCCGUUCGCCACAAAAAUGUCGAUGCCGGAAUGUCACAUCACCGUGACGCCGCCGUUGAUCCGCCGGAAGCUCCGGUCGUCGUGUUCAUCAGUUCCAAGAGCGGUGGACGUCACGGUCCCAAACUCAUGACCAGGCUUCAGGAGUUAAUGAGUGAAGAACAGGUAUCUCACUAGUAAUAAUUAAUAAAUGAUUUAAUCAGUCUGUAACUCUGUAUUCUUGAAAAAAUGUUGAUUUAUUUGCUUAUAUUAUGAAUACUAAUAAUACAAGAAUUGUUUAAUAAGGAUGACGAGUUAAAAAUAUUUUAUGAUUUAAGUAUGGCUGAGGUUUGUGUUGUCAGAAUAUGUGGCGGUACUACAAAUUUAAAGAAGCUGUGAGGCUGAAUGUGAAUGUUAUCUAUUUUAAUUUAUUGUGCUGCUGCUGGUUCUGCAGUUGCAGUUGCAUGUAGAUAGAUUUUAAUGUUCUUUGUGUGAUCCCACGUAGAUUGGCAGGACAGAGACAUAUGAUUUCUGCAUAUACAUGGUUCCUGACAUUUUCAAGUCCGAGUGUCAUAGUCAUGGGAUAGAUUGCAUACACCUGAAAUAAUUUUAGCUUUGUAUUUUUUUGCUUGUUUUUGGUAUGCCACAUGCUUCGAGAUCUAUUUAAUUUUUUAUAAUUUCUGUCAGGCACAUGCUUCGAGAUUUAUUUUGCCUGGCAAUAUACUUUUUCACAUAGAUUUGAUUUUAGUAUUUUUAGAAAUUGGAUCAUAUUUUUGUGUUCUUAGAAAGUAUAUUUUCUUGUGUGCCAGGUUCUUGAUCUUUCACAAGUGAAGCCUCAUGAAUUUGUACAGUUUGGAUUGGGUUGCCUGGAGAAGCUUGCUUCCCAGGGGGACACUUGUGCCAAAGAGACACGUGAGA